rnacentral:lncRNA from 1 species
UAAACAUCUCUGCCAUAAUUGUACAUAAGUGUCUAUUUUAGUUUUUUUUUAUCCAUAUAUUUUUGAAAAUGUAGGAACUCUCUGAAAACCAUGACACCAUAUCCUAUUAUGUACAAACAUGUGAACACACAUACUCAUUCCUUAUUGUGACUAUUUUCAUAUAAAUUAUCCACUGAACAUUCAUGGAUGAUGCUUCAUUUAUUUCCCAGAAGCACCUCGUUGACAUGAACUUCCCACCAAAGAAGAGAGUGAAAGGCCAUCAGAUCCCCGCUGAACCCGGCCUGUUUGACGAAGACAUGGAUUUCACCCAGGACCACCUGGAGCAGAUUGACAUCAUCGCGCCCCAGGCCUUAAACGGACAUUUGCUUUCAGAGACGAUGACAUCAGCAGCAGCACAAACAACAGUAAAGAAGCACGAAGAAAAGAUGCGUUCGCUGAAGGAGGAAGAGAAGGAGAUCCUGAUGAAGAACGGAGAGAUCCGAGUCCUGCGCGACUCCCUGAAACAGGCCAAUCAUUCAGAAGAAGGAGCAGCAGCGGCAGACCCAGCUGGUCCUGGAGAAGGAGAAAGCUCAUGCUGGGAGCGAACAUGAGGAGCUGCUGUCCAGGAAGUGUUCACUCUCCUGAGAGUCAAGCGUUCAUGACUAAAGGAAACUUCUCAGCCGAAUUCUCCAAGAAAACAUCUCCUGUCAAAAACGGCCAUUUAUCAGAGGGCAGGAUUUAUUUUUUUAUGCUUAUGCACAUUUCCUGUCUGUUGAUGUAUUUCCAUUCUCAUUCGACCCUUAAUAUCAUAUUUUCUAACUCUUUCAGACGGUAAACCAGCUCGGUCCAAACGUUCCCUCGCAUGAUUGGACUGAACCCUGGGCUCCGGUCACCAACAGGAAGGGAACCGCUGAUCAGAUGUCUUCUUGUUUCUGUUAUCUCAGUGUGUUGCAGUGAGGCUGUGUGUGUUACUGAAGCUGCUUCCGAGCGCUCUGGGUCUGUGUCUCCUGCUGUCCAUCAGUCCUGACACCUACGUCAGCCUGUAAACCACAGGAGCAUCCGAAUUAAACACAUCACGCCUCUGAGUGUCCAGAAAACACGAGAAACCCACUAUAAACAUCAGUUUCCAUUACAUACAGCUGUUUAUUUUGGGAAAUCGUCAGCCCACUUUUACAACAUUCAUCAUACAAUGCUGUAAGGACGGAAAUUUCCGUUGCAUCAUUUGUUUGGGGGGUAUUUUCCAGUGGAAGGUUUGAACUAUGUCAACUUCUUAAAUGCCGAUCAAAUAUACUUUUAAGUCACAUGAGCAGAGAUUGCUAUGGUUCAUUAACAAAGCCAUACAGAACACUUUGUUUUUUAUCAAAGAAUAUAUUUUUAAAGACUUUACAUCAUGACAUUUGCAGAUUUUUAUAUAACUAUUAACAUAUUAUUGUUAUUAACAUUAUUUUAUUAUUAAGGUUGUAUUUGAAGGAUGUACUAAUUAAAUUAAAUAGGACAGAAUACUGUACUGAUAACAAUAACUAGUAUUAUUAUUGCUAGUAGUAUUCAUAGCAGUCAUUUUUACAUAAUAUUUGCUUUAUGCAUUUUUAAACAUUAAAAUAUUAUUUGUUGUAUUUCAUUUAUUAUUAAACUAAAUAUAGAACAUUGUU